UAGGGAGACCUAAUCCAUUUAGAAAUCGAAAACAAUGAAAAUUGUCAAUAGAAACUAAAUUGGUCUAGCCUAGGUCGUUCGAGAUUGGUAGACAUCUUUCAAAGUAUUAUUCGGCUUCGUUCAAAACCAUAUAUAAUAAAUGGAAAAAGACAGCACCUAAUUGUCAGAGUUAGACUGCUGGAUGAAGUUCCAGCCAGAACCUUGAAAACUGCAUAAGAGAACAAGAAAAAGCAGGCAGACACAGACAUUUAGAUGGAUGUGAAAGCAAAAGAAAUUGU
rnacentral:misc_RNA from 1 species